GCUCUGGCUGGGCGGUCCGCCAAUUGGUUGGUACUGCUUUGGCUGGGGUUCACUUUCUGGUGAGCCGUCAUGUCCUUUAUUGGGUGUGGCGAGGAACCAGGACUUUUACCUUGAAAAAAUUAGAGUGUUUAAAGCGGGCACGCGCUUGAAUACAUUAGCAUGGAAUAACGAAAUAGGACGUUCGAUCUUAUUUUGUUGGUUUCUAGGAUUGACGUA
rnacentral:rRNA from 1 species